GAAAUUCGUACUGUGUCCUGUAGUUGAUAAAACACCAGCUCGUAUGGCAGUCUUGUACAAUGGGCAAACAUAUCUUGGAUCAUUUUCUAGUGGAGCCAUUACAGGCAUAAUGUGCAUCACUGCAUCAACAAGAACCAUAAAAUGGAAAUCCCAUCUGCCGGCAUCUAUAAAAAGCCCAUGAACAAAAACCCCAUCUAAAGGUUUAUGUAGGUCGUUGUAUACUUCAGGUACCUAAUAUUAAUAAGAACAAUUUGAAUCAACUGUAAUAAUUAAUCGACAACGGAAAUUCACUUCUUUUUCAACUUCUCGCAUAAGUUUGCAAUAUGCCAGUUAUAAAUCCUUGAGGAAAGGACAACCCAGAUAUCCAGAAGGAAAUUGGCAUCGUAUCCAUCAACCAUAUCUAUACAUAUAUAAUAUAUACAUUAAUAGUAAUAU